rnacentral:lncRNA from 1 species
GCUCUCGGCCGUCGCUGCCCAACGAGCUUCGAUAAACUGCUCUUUUACUGACACUCUGCAGGGCCCAUCCGAAAGAGAAAAUGGGGGGAGAACCCAGGACUCUGGCGUUCUGUUCUCCUAAUAAACUGAGGUUACGAUUGCAAGGUGUACGUAUGUGGGCGGUUGGACCAAUGCUGCCAUCUCGUGGCUGAAACCCCCAACAUACCGCUGCCUGCCUUAAGACCGCGCUGUGGUUUGAGGUGGUUUUAGGCGCGGGCCGCAGACGGGUGAAGCAAAGGAAGAUUUAAUUUGUCAGCCCAGUUAGACCUCCCCAGAUUCCCUGGUUUACUGAAUGGGGCAGGACUUAUGAAAACUAUAGAGAUGUGCAAAAGAACAACCAUCCUUCUCUCUGCUACUAUGAAUUUUGACUUUUUAAGAUUCUACAUGUAAAUGAUAUAAUGACAGCACCCCUGGACAUAGAGAAGUUCUCAGGCCAGGGGUGGAAUCUCUAGCCGCCGGCCUGCACCACAACCACAGCAACUCCAGAUCCAAGCCACAUCUGCGACCUACACCACAGCUCACAGCAACACCAGGUCCUUAACCCACUGAGUGAGGCCAGGGAUCAUACCUGAAUCCCCAUGGAUAUUAGUCGGGUUUGUUACUGCUGAGACAUGAUGGAACGCCCACCAUUUCUUUUUUUAAGUUAAAGUUUUGAUUUUAUGUUUAUCUUUUAUUAUAAAAACUCAUUAUAGAGUUUUAUUUUUUUCCACUAUAGCUGGUUUACAGUGUUCUGUCAAUUUUCUCCUGCAUAGCAAGGUGACCCAGUCACACAUACAUGUAUACAUUCUUUUUUCUUACAUUACCAUGCUCCAUUACAAGUGACCAGACACAGUUCCCAGUGCUAUACAGCGGGAUCCCAUUGCUUAUCCAUUCCAAAGGCAGUAGUUUGCAUCUAUUAAACCCAAAUUCCCAGUCCAUCCCACUCCCUCCCCCUCCCUCUUGGCAACCAGAAGUUUGUUCUUCUUGUCCAUGGUUUUCUUUUCUGUGGAAAGAUUCAUUUGUGCCAUAUAUUAGAUUCCAGAUAUAAGUGAUAUCAUAUGGUAUUUGUCUUUCUUUUUCUGACUUACUUCACUCAGUAUGAGUCUCUAGUUCCAUCCAUGUUGCUGCAAAUAGCAUUAUUUUUUUCUUUUUUUUUAAUGUCUGAAUAGUACUCCAUUGUGUAUAUAUACCACAUCUUCUUAAUCCAAUCCUCUGUCAAUGGACAUUUAGGUUGUUUCCAUGCCUUGGCUAUUGUGAAUAGUGCUGCAAUGAACAUGUGGGUGCAAGUGUCUUUUUCAAGGGAAGUUUUGUCCGAGUAUAUGUCCAAGAGUGGGGUUGCUGAGUCAUAUGAUAGUUCUAUGUAUAGUUUUCUAAGGUACCUCCAUACUGUUCUCCAUAGUGGCUGUACCAGCUUACAUUCCCAUCGACAGUGCAGGAAGGUUCCCUUUUCUCCACACCCUCUCCAGCAUUUGUUAUCUGUGGCCCUUCUGACUGGUGUGAGUGACUUUAUGUUUAAAAGUUAACACAUCUUGAGUUUUCUGAGCCAACAAGCAUGUUCUCUAACACCAUAUUCUACAAGUGGAUAUUGAAAUAAAUUUUAGCUAAAAUAUAUCAACAGAAGAAUUCCUACUAUUCCUUAAAAUACAUUUUUGGUUUUUAACAUUCAGUUAAUUUAAAUUCUUCUAGUACUUACAUUGAAUUAUGGUGGUUUUUUCCCCCCUUUUCCCCAGCAGUUACUGAAAUAUACUUGACAUAUAAUAUUGUACUACUUUUAGUUGUACACAUAGCGAUUUCAUAUUUGUAUACAUAGCCAAAUUAUUACCAUAAUAAAUUUAGUUAACACUCAUACCCUCACAUAGUUAAUAAUUCUUUUUCUUGUGAUAAUAACUUUUAAGAUCUACUCUCCUAGCUAAUUACAAAUAUACAACAUUGUUAACCAUACUCACCAUGCUAUACAUUACAUCCCUAGAAUUUAUCUUAUGACUGGAAGUUUGUACCUUUUGCUUACCUUCACCCAUUUUGCCUCUCACCCCCAAACCCCACCUCUGGCAACUACCAAUACGUAUCUAUGAGUUUGGGUUUUCAUUUUUGUUUUUUUUUGUUUUUUGUCUUUUUAGGGCCGAAUCUGUGGUAUAUGCAGCUUCCCAGGCUAUGAGUUGAGUUGAAGCUGUAGCUGCCAGCCGAGCAGUGUCUGCCAUCUAUACCACAGCUUACUGAGCCACAAUGGGAACUCCAAGUUUGGGGUUUUGUUUUUUUUAAGAUUCCAUGUAUAGAUGAGAUCAUACAGGGUUUGUCUUUCUCUUUCUGACUUAUUUCACAUAAUGCCUUCAGGGUCCAUCUGUCAUUGCAAAUGGCAGGAUUUCUUUUAUUUAGAAAUAAUUUUAUUGAAAUAUAGUUGUUUCACAACAUUGUUCCUUCAUUUUUAUGGCUGAAUUUCCUCUGAUAUAUAUUGAUAUACUGAUGUCAUGUUUUCUUUAUCCGUUCAUCCAUCAAUGGACAUUUGGGUUGAUUCCAUAUGUUGGCUGUUGUAAAUCAUCCUGCAAUGAACAUGAAGGUGCAGAUAGGUAUCUUUUUGAGAUAGUGGUUUUUCUUUCUUUUGAAUAUAUACAUAGAAGUAGGAUUGCCGGAUUAUAUGGCAGUUUUCAAUUUUUUGAUGAACCUCCAUACUGUUCUCCAUAGUGGCUAUGCCAGUUUACAUUCCCACCUACAGUGAACAAGGGUUCCUUUUUCUCCACAUCCCCACCAACUUUUGUUAUUUCUGGGUUUUUUUUUUGAUGAUAGGCAUUGUAAGGUGAUAUCUCAUUGUGUGUGAGUGUGUGUGUGUGUGUGUGUGUGUGUGUGUGUGUGUGUGUUUGGCCAUGCCUAAGGCAUAUGGAGAUUCUCUGGGUCAGGAAUUGAACCCAUGCCAAAGCAGUGACCUGAGCCAUAGCCAUGACAGUGCUCCAUCCUUAACCACCAGGCUACCAGGGAACUCCCCCACCUAUAUUUUUUCUUCUAGGAGUUUUAUGGUGUCUAGUCUUACAUUUAGGUCUUUAAUCCAUUUUGAGUUUAUUUUUAUAUAUGGUGUUAGAGAAUGUUCUAGUUUCAUUCUUGUACAAGUAACUGUCCAGUUUUCCUAGUACCACUUAUUGAAUAGAAUAUAUUUUCUCCAUUGUAUAUUCUUGCCUCCUUUGUCAUGGAUUAAUUAACCAUAAGUGUGUGGAUUUAUUUUGGGGCUUUCUUUUCUUUUCCAUUGAUCUAUGUGUCUGUUGGAAGCACAACUGAUUAUUGUGUAUUGAUUUUGAAUACUCCAAAUUUACUGGAUUUAUUAGUUGUAAGAGUUUGUGCAUGUGUGCGUGUGUGUGCAGUCUUUAGAGUUUUCUUCCUGUAGGAUCAUGCCAUCUGCAAACAGUGAGAACUGUCCUUCUUCCUUUUAGAUUUGGAUUUCUUUUUUGUGGGGGCUCUGAUUGCUGUUUACAAUAUUUCUAGUACAAUGUUGAAUAGAAGUGGCAAGAGUGGACAUCCUUGUCUUGUACUGAAUCUUAGGAAAAAAUUAUCAGUUUUUCUGCAUUGAUUAUGAUUUAGCUGUGACUUUUCAUAAAUGGUCUCUGUUAUGUUGAGAAAGUUUCCUUUUGUACCUAUUUUGUUGAGAAUUUAUAUCACAAAUAAAUGUUGAAUGUUGUCAAA